GUAUUAUUUAGAACCUUCUAGCUGGGCAAUUAUGUCAUCCUGUCAUUUUAUGAUCUUAUAGAUCUAGCUCUCUCUCAUAUGAUGACUCUACAUUUUCUCUUAACAAGACACUGUUGCAUUUUCCUCCUUUGCUCCUGCCUUGCUGAAUGCCUUGAGUUAACAUACCCAUAAUGUGAACAAGAUUAUCAAAAAGUAUAACAUAAUUAGAAAAAUCUAUGACAAAUAGAAAGAGUAAUCUUUUUUCUUUUGAAAGUUUCAUUUAUUUUUUCUUUUGGUUUGUUUUGUAGAUAAAGCAUGUACAUUGCCCAGAAGGCAAAACACUAUCACAAAUCAAACAUUGAGAAGUCUUGCUUCCUGUCCCCAUUCUUUUUUAUUUAUCCUUCCAGUAUUUAUCUAUGCAAGUUCAAGCAAAAGAAAUAUAACUAUCUUCUUUCAUCCCCUUUCUUACAUAAAACAUAUUAUAUUCACUCUUAGACAUUUUGGUUUUUUCACUUAAUAAUACAUUUUGGAAAUCACCAUAUAUGAGUACACAAAAGAGCUAUCUUUCCUGUUUUGUUCAGCUUCAUAUUGUUCAAUUAUAGAGUAGAACCAUGGUUUAUUGAACUAAUUUCCUAAUGAGUACACUUGUGGUAUUUUUCAAUAUGUUGCUGUUAUAUGUUGUUAUAUGUUGCUAUUAUAUGCUAUUAAUAUGUUGCUGUUACAGAAAAUGCUGUAAAUUAAUAACAGAUAUCAUUUCAUAUGUAUAUAAUAUGAUAUGUAUAUAAUAUAUAUGUAUAUAAUAUGGAUCUAUGUAGGAUAAAUUCCCCAAAGUGGGAUUCCUAGGUUAAAGGGUACAUGAAUUUGUGUUUUAAAAAAAUAUUGUCACAUUGCCCUCACUAAAAGUCAGACUAUUUAUACACAAACUAGUGAUGUAUUAGAGUGCCUGCUUCCCAACAGCUUCACCAACACAAUGUGUUGUCAAAUGUUGGAUUUUUAAAUACUCUGAUAGGGAAAAUGGUAUACAGAGUGAUUUUAAUUUGCAUAAAGAGGCUUUUAAAAAAGAGUUGGAAAGUUACAUGCCCAUGAAAAUUUAAGGUAAACUUUGAUAGAAAUGGAUUCUUUAAAGCAUCCCCCAAAUCUGAAGCUUUGCGGUUAGCCAAUAUAUAGAAACUCUUGUAAAUAACAGUUGGCAUUGAAACAAAACAAAAUAUUUUUCUGUAAUCCAAAGCUUUUUGUCAGCCAAGGUCAAGGAAACUUGGCAAUUGCUCACUACUCAGUCUUAAACCAGAGAGAUCAAAUACUGCAUUCCUGAGGACUGGCCUUGAGCUAUCCCACAGCAUUGUCAACUGAAUUUUGUUUAUUGUUGGGCUCCCAUCCGGCCUGCAUAUUAAUAACUCCAAAUUAAUAACUGCAUGUUAAUAAACUCCAAAAGCAAAAUAACACAUAUCUAAUGUCUUGAGAAGAUAUCCUACAGCAAAAUGGCAGAAACAAGAUGAGAUUCAGAAUUGUAGGAAAUUUUUUUCUACAUUGAAUCAAUUAAACUCACUCUUUUCCCCUACCCAAUCCCCAUCCCCAACAUAUACAUCAUUCCCCAGCAGAAGCAUUUCUUUCAAAUUCAGAGAAAUAGAAAUGUAUAGAUUCCAUUCAAUUUUCCUCUUAAUUCUAAAAGUGAAUAAAUCCAUUUUUUUUGUAGAAUGCUAUAUAAAAUAUGUACUGUGAAUAUAUGUUAUAAAAACUACUAUACCAAAUACCAUCUGAUAUUUAUUUUGGUAAGACCCCAAACCUCAUUUAAUUUAAAUAUACACUGUGCUUCAGUUUGUUCAUCAGUAAAAUGGUAAUGAUGCUGAUACCCAUCUCAUAGGGUUUUUUGGUGGAGAUUAAAGUCAAAACAUGUAAAGCACCUAGAAGAGUGCUUGGCAUAGAGUAAACAAUACAUGUUCACUAUUAUCAUAUUUAUUCUUUUGUUAGUAAGAAAUUUCCUGUGGCCAUAGAAUCUUUGGACAUGGUGCCCAUGGUGCACCAUGUAAGCAUAAUAUACAUCAUUUCUAUAUGUUGAGGAAAGUCUUGAAACCUUAAUAAUUAAUGUGCAGUGGUCAAAAGCAGCUCAGAAAGUAAGAGGAUGGAAAGAACUCUCCAAUGGUAAAUGUUAAUGCUGAACUUGUGUGUGAUAUUUAAACCAAAGUGCUGGAGGCAAAAUAAUGGAUGUCCAUGCUGUAAUUCUUGGAACUUGUGAAUAUGCUACUUUACAUAGCAAAAGCGAUUUUGCAGAUAUGACUGGGAGUAGGGAUCCUAGGAUGGGAAAUUGUCUUGGCUUAUCGGGAUGGGCCCAAACUAAUCACAUGAAUUGUUAAAAGCAGAGAAGCUUUCCUGCUGUGAUCAGAGAGAUGUGAUGAUGGAAGAAAGGUUGGAGAAUGCGAGUGAGGACUUGACCAGUCAUUGUUGGCUUUGAAGACAGAGGAAGCCAGCCAAGGAAUACAAGGAGCCUUUAGAAGCCAGAAAAAGCAAGGUGUUUCCUCUGUGUUUAUGGAGAAAUUGGAUUAUUUAAUUGACCUUCCUUUGUUCUGAGACACAUUUUUAAGUGUUCCCUCUGUGUUUAUUGAGAAACUGUUAUUAAUUGUAAGUAAGAUUACUACCUGUGUCAAGUUUCCUAUGUUUAUUAAAUGUUUGAUCUAUUAAUUACUGAGAGAGAGGUAUGUUAAAAAUCUAAUAUGAUUGUAUUAGACAGUCUCGCUCUGUUGCCCAGGCUAGAGUGCAGUGAUGUCAUCAUAGCUCACUGCAACCUCAA